GCAUACCAUCUUAAAUCACCGGUUCUCAUACGAUCACAGAAGUUAAACAGCAUUGAGCCUGGUUAGUACCUUGAUGGGUGACUGGAUGAG